GCCGAAAUAGCUCAGUUGGGAGAGCGUUUGACUGCAGAUCUAAAGGUCCCUGGUUCAAUCCCGGGUUUAGGCA
rnacentral:tRNA from 1 species